rnacentral:rRNA from 1 species
UUAAGCGACUAAGCGUACACGGUGGAUGCCCUGGCAGUCAGAGGCGAUGAAGGACGUGCUAAUCUGCGAAAAGCGUCGGUAAGGUGAUAUGAACCGUUAUAGCCGGCGAUGUCCGAAUGGGGAAACCCAGUGCAAUUCGUUGCACUAUCGUUAACUGAAUACAUAGGUUAACGAGGCGAACCGGGGGAACUGAAACAUCUAAGUACCCCGAGGAAAAGAAAUCAACCGAGAUUCCCCCAGUAGCGGCGAGCGAACGGGGAGCAGCCCAGAGUCUGAAUCAGCUUGUGUGUUAGUGGAACGGUCUGGAAAGUCCGACGGUACAGGGUGAUAGUCCCGUACACCAAAAUGCACAGGCUGUGAACUCGAAGAGUAGGGCGGGACACGUGGUAUCCUGUCUGAAUAUGGGGGGACCAUCCUCCAAGGCUAAAUACUCCUGACUGACCGAUAGUGAACCAGUACCGUGAGGGAAAGGCGAAAAGAACCCCGGCGAGGGGAGUGAAAAAGAACCUGAAACCGUGUACGUACAAGCAGUGGGAGCACCUUCGGGUGUGACUGCGUACCUUUUGUAUAAUGGGUCAGCGACUUAUAUUCUGUAGCAAGGUUAACCGUAUAGGGGAGCCGCAGGGAAACCGAGUCUUAACUGGGCGUUAAGUUGCAGGGUAUAGACCCGAAACCCGGUGAUCUAGCCAUGGGCAGGUUGAAGGUUGGGUAACACUAACUGGAGGACCGAACCGACUAAUGUUGAAAAAUUAGCGGAUGACUUGUGGCUGGGGGUGAAAGGCCAAUCAAACCGGGAGAUAGCUGGUUCUCCCCGAAAGCUAUUUAGGUAGCGCCUCGUGAACUCAUCUUCGGGGGUAGAGCACUGUUUCGGCUAGGGGGUCAUCCCGACUUACCAACCCGAUGCAAACUACGAAUACCGAAGAAUGUUAUCACGGGAGACACACGGCGGGUGCUAACGUCCGUCGUGAAGAGGGAAACAACCCAGACCGCCAGCUAAGGUCCCAAAGUCAUGGUUAAGUGGGAAACGAUGUGGGAAGGCACAGACAGCCAGGAUGUUGGCUUAGAAGCAGCCAUCAUUUAAAGAAAGCGUAAUAGCUCACUGGUCGAGUCGGCCUGCGCGGAAGAUGUAACGGGGCUAAACCAUGCACCGAAGCUGCGGCAGCGACACUAUGUGUUGUUGGGUAGGGGAGCGUUCUGUAAGCCUGCGAAGGUGUGCUGUGAGGCAUGCUGGAGGUAUCAGAAGUGCGAAUGCUGACAUAAGUAACGAUAAAGCGGGUGAAAAGCCCGCUCGCCGGAAGACCAAGGGUUCCUGUCCAACGUUAAUCGGGGCAGGGUGAGUCGACCCCUAAGGCGAGGCCGAAAGGCGUAGUCGAUGGGAAACAGGUUAAUAUUCCUGUACUUGGUGUUACUGCGAAGGGGGGACGGAGAAGGCUAUGUUAGCCGGGCGACGGUUGUCCCGGUUUAAGCAUGUAGGCUGGUUAUCCAGGCAAAUCCGGAUAAUCAAGGCUGAGGUGUGAUGACGAGGCACUACGGUGCUGAAGUAACAAAUGCCCUGCUUCCAGGAAAAGCCUCUAAGCAUCAGGUAACAUCAAAUCGUACCCCAAACCGACACAGGUGGUCAGGUAGAGAAUACCAAGGCGCUUGAGAGAACUCGGGUGAAGGAACUAGGCAAAAUGGUGCCGUAACUUCGGGAGAAGGCACGCUGGUGUGUAGGUGAAGUCCCUGCGGAUGGAGCUGAGACCAGUCGAAGAUACCAGCUGGCUGCAACUGUUUAUUAAAAACACAGCACUGUGCAAACACGAAAGUGGACGUAUACGGUGUGACGCCUGCCCGGUGCCGGAAGGUUAAUUGAUGGGGUUAUCCGUAAGGAGAAGCUCUUGAUCGAAGCCCCGGUAAACGGCGGCCGUAACUAUAACGGUCCUAAGGUAGCGAAAUUCCUUGUCGGGUAAGUUCCGACCUGCACGAAUGGCGUAAUGAUGGCCAGGCUGUCUCCACCCGAGACUCAGUGAAAUUGAACUCGCUGUGAAGAUGCAGUGUACCCGCGGCAAGACGGAAAGACCCCGUGAACCUUUACUAUAGCUUGACACUGAACAUUGAGCCUUGAUGUGUAGGAUAGGUGGGAGGCUUUGAAGCGUGGACGCCAGUCUGCGUGGAGCCAACCUUGAAAUACCACCCUUUAAUGUUUGAUGUUCUAACGUUGGCCCCUUACCGGGGUUGCGGACAGUGUCUGGUGGGUAGUUUGACUGGGGCGGUCUCCUCCCAAAGCGUAACGGAGGAGUACGAAGGUUAGCUAAUCCUGGUCGGACAUCAGGAGGUUAGUGCAAUGGCAUAAGCUAGCUUGACUGCGAGCGUGACGGCGCGAGCAGGUGCGAAAGCAGGUCAUAGUGAUCCGGUGGUUCUGAAUGGAAGGGCCAUCGCUCAACGGAUAAAAGGUACUCCGGGGAUAACAGGCUGAUACCGCCCAAGAGUUCAUAUCGACGGCGGUGUUUGGCACCUCGAUGUCGGCUCAUCACAUCCUGGGGCUGAAGUAGGUCCCAAGGGUAUGGCUGUUCGCCAUUUAAAGUGGUACGCGAGCUGGGUUUAGAACGUCGUGAGACAGUUCGGUCCCUAUCUGCCGUGGGCGCUGGAGAAUUGAGGGGGGCUGCUCCUAGUACGAGAGGACCGGAGUGGACGCAUCACUGGUGUUCGGGUUGUCAUGCCAAUGGCACUGCCCGGUAGCUAAAUGCGGAAGAGAUAAGUGCUGAAAGCAUCUAAGCACGAAACUUGCCCCGAGAUGAGUUCUCCCUGAGACUUUAAGUCUCCUGAAGGAACGUUGAAGACGACGACGUUGAUAGGCCGGGUGUGUAAGCGCAGCGAUGCGUUGAGCUAACCGGUACUAAUGAACCGUGAGGCUUAACCUU